rnacentral:rRNA from 1 species
CACGUAGGGGCCAAGCGUUGUCCGGAUUUAUUGGGCGUAAAGAGCUCGUAGGCGGUUGGGUAAGUCGGGUGUGAAAACUCCGGGCUCAACUCGGAGACGCCACCCGAUACUGCUCUGACUUGAGUCCGGUAGGGGAGUGGGGAAUUCCUGGUGUAGCGGUGAAAUGCGCAGAUAUCAGGAGGAACACCGGUGGCGAAGGCGCCACUCUGGGCCGGAACUGACGCUGAGGAGCGAAAGCGUGGGUAGCAAACAGG